UACGUAGGGACCGAGCGUUGUCCGGAUUCAUUGGGCGUAAAGAGCGUGUAGGCGGCCAGGUAGGUCUGCUGUGAAAACUCGAGGCUCAACCUCGAGACGUCGGCGGAAACCAUCUGGCUAGAGUCCGGAAGAGGAGAGUGGAAUUCCUGGUGUAGCGGUGAAAUGCGCAGAUAUCAGGAAGAACACCCGUGGCGAAGGCGGCUCUCUGGGGACGGUACUGACGCUGAGACGCGAAAGCGUGGGGAGCGAACAGG
rnacentral:rRNA from 1 species